AUGGGAUAUGUGAACGUUAUUCAUGUUUAUUUGGGCCUAAUUUGGACCAGUUAAUGCGCCUAUUUCGAACUAAAAACGGUGCGUUUCGGUUUCGCUGGUCGUCUUCCUUGUAGCUUUCUUGAAAGCUGGGAGAAAAAAUGGUGAGAAUUCGGGUGAACUCGUGAAGCAUGGAUGAGGAGAGAGCCGUAAAGCAUUAGAGCUUCUGUACACUUAUCUAGCACUUUUAGAAUUGAAGAAAUCGGACAUGCAAUCGUCCAGAGUUCGAAACUUCACUACAGAAUCUAUCCCUUAAUGUUUAGUUAAGCUUCAACCUCCCAAAUCACCCUUCCAUGAACUCCGAUUGGUGAUUCCGAAUUUAUUUUUGCUUCAAUUUCUCGCCAUUAGAGUUUUGGUGGAUCAUUUGCAGGACCAGGUUAUGUAUAAGAAGGCUAUAUGCUGAGAGACAAUUGUCGAAGCAAUUGAGAUAAAGUUGAUGAAAAGAUGAAUAUUCCAAUCAAGUCCAGCAACCGGUCGGUACAUUUUUAGCGAGUACUGGAACUGAGUUUUUUCCCCUCUUUUAUUAGUUCAUGCUCUGUGUUUGAAUUCGAAAUUGAGAUGCAUUAAAAUUAACAAUCUAGGGAUUUUUUAUUUGUUUGCUUGAUAAUGAUUGAGAUACAUUAAAAUGGGAAGAAAAUAGUAGAUUCACUUGGAAAGACUUCAGAUUGAGCUCAUGCAAUUGUGUUUUUCCAGAUUUGGAAGUGUUUCAAGAAGAAACAACUCAGCUUUGUUGGCAGGGAAACAACUUGAGAGUGACAAACAGUUGUGUGCUUAUAUCAGAAUGAAUGAUAAAAAUAAGAUACCUAUGCAAGUGUUGGAAUCCAAUUCAACCAUGGGCCAAUUUUAGUCUUCAUGUUAUCCUACAUUUUGGGGUUAUUUUUUUCAAGAUUCUUAUAUUGCAAGUUUUGAAGUAGUGAUCAUAAUCUUGACUGGUUGAAAUUUAUAUGGAAUUUUAUUUAUUAGUUAAGCUUUAGAGCUAUAUAAACAGCACAUUAUGGUAUUUUAAGGUUAAUUAUUUGAGCUGUAUAGAAAGUUUCUUCCCAUUCAAUAGACGUUUCCUGUAUUCAUCAGUAUUUUUUCUCCAACAAGUCAUUGAUUCAAAGGAUUUCAUUGUCACAGAGUUAGAAAUUUAGGACCAUCAUUAUUCUUUUGUUUCUACAGAUUGUGCUGAGGUUGCAGCCACCCAACACAAAUCCUGCUCAGAUUUCUGCAAGUGGUGGAUCUCUGCUUUAGAGUUUGAUGUUUGUGCUUUUUGUAGAAGUGGGACCAUUACUUUUUCAGUGAGUCUAGUUGCCUGUCUCUUCUAAUCACUUGUAGUUUGUGCUCUUCCUGCACUAUGGAUUAGGAAAUUGACUCGGUGAUUGAAAGUGGCUGUGAUAAAUCAAUCGAUAAAGGGGAUACCUUCACAAAUAAGCUACUGAUCUCUGGUGCAUAUUCUAAAUUUAAUGCUGCCAGGAGCGAAGAAUGCCUGAAAAGUUGAUGGAUUUUAUGUAAAUUAACACCAGACUGGGUGAAAAAUGCUGUGUUCAUUGGUUGCAUAACUUGCACUGAUGUAUCGGAACAAAUUCAGAAUUGAAGUUGUGUUUAGUGAAAACUUAUACAAAGAGAACUUUAUAAUUA